UGGCUCAGAUGGUAAAAGCGUCUGCCUGCAAUGCAGGAGACCUAGGUUCGAUUCCUGG
rnacentral:tRNA from 1 species